GACGAACGCUGGCGGCGUGCUUAACACAUGCAAGUCGAACGGAAAGGCCCUGCUUUUGUGGGGUGCUCGAGUGGCGAACGGGUGAGUAACACGUGAGUAACCUGCCCUUGACUUUGGUAUAACUUCAGGAAACUGGGGCUAAUACCGGAUAGGAGCUCCUGCUGCAUGGUGGGGGUUGGAAAGUUUCGGCGGUUGGGGAUGGACUCGCGGCUUAUCAGCUUGUUGGUGGGGUAGUGGCUUACCAAGGCUUUGACGGGUAGCCGGCCUGAGAGGGUGACCGGCCACAUUGGGACUGGGAAACGGCCCAGACUCCUACGGGAGGCAGCAGUGGGGAAUAUUGCACAAUGGGCGGAAGCCGGAUGCAGCAACGCCGCGUGCGGGAUGACGGCCUUCGGGUUGUAAACGGCUUUCGCCUGUGACGAAGCGUGAGUGACGGUAAUGGGGAAAGAAACACCGGCUAACUACGU
rnacentral:rRNA from 1 species